GCAAGGCCAUCAGCAAUAACAUUUUCUAACCGAGAGAUCCAUCCAAACGAGAUGGUCUCAAACUCAGAAGCUAAAGCUACAAUAUCUGAUACAAUUCCAUAGAUCUCUGGCAUUGGUUCUAUUGAAUGAAAGAAUCGAAUGAAUUGAUUAACCAAAGUUAGUUACAAUCAAGUGUAUAUAUAUACACGGUUUAAGCAAAAGGAAACUAAACCGUAUUGGUUAUCUAAUUUAAACCGGUAUUAUACAAUAUGCCCCGGUCAAGUCUCUGAAACUGAAGGUGAAGGCGGAAGGAAGAGACUUGAGAUGGACAUCCUGUUAAGAAUAGAAUGAAACGGUCCAGAGUGUAGAGGCUUCGUCAUGAUGUCAGCAUGUUGAUCAGCACUAGGAACAUGCAUCAAUGUGAUGAAGCCUUUCUUGACCUGAUCACGAACUGUGUGACAAUCUAUCUCCACAUGUUUAGUUCGCUCAUGAAAGACCGGAUUGGUGGCUAUAUACAUCGCAGACUUAUUGUCACAGAAGAGCUUCGCAUUUGUUGAAACCUUGAUGUGAAGACUCGUGAGAAGCUGUUGUAACCAGAUGAGCUCACAAGUAGCAUGUGCCAUGCUCCGAUACUCAGCUUCAGUACUACUACGGCUCACGACAUCCUGUUUCUUCGACUUCCAGGUUAUCAAGGAGUUUCCAAGGUAGACACAAUAGCCCGUGAGUGAACGUCUACUAUCAGGACAGGUUUCCCAGUUAGCAUCUGAAAACGCAUUUAGGCAUAACCGUGAAGAAGCAGAGUAGAAAAGUCCUUGCCCGGGAUUGUUCUUAAUGUAGCGUAGUAUCUUGUGAGCUGCUUCAAGAUGAACAUCAGUAGGAGAUUGCAUGAAUUGGCUCAGACAAUGUACCGCAAAAGUGAUAUCCGGACGAGUGAUUGUGAGGUAUAGAAGACGUCCAAUCAAAGCGCGAUAGCUGGUAGGAUCUUGAAGCAGAGUACCAGAAUUUUUACUCAACUUUACCAGAGGAUCCAUAGGAACAGAACUUGGUUUACAAGCAAGAAGACCAGCAUCUGAUAGAAGACUCAAUGCGUAUUUCCGUUGAGAGAUAGAGAUGCCUUCAGAUGAUCUUGCAAUCUCCAAUCCAAGGAAGAAACGAAGUUGUCCAAGAUCUUUAAUCUUGAAGCGAGAGCUCAGAGUCUUCUUUAGAGACGCAACCUCUUCAUCAUUGUUGCCAACGAUCAUAAUGUCGUCGACAUAGACAAGAGCUGCCGUGAAAAUGGAACCAUUAUGCUUAACAAACAGUGUGUUGUCCGCCGGAGAUUGAGUAUAACCAGCUGCCAAAAACACUGAUGAGAGACAGUGAUACCACUGGCGUGAAGCUUGCUUCAACCCAUAUAGUGACUUGUGAAGUCGACAGACUGGAUUAGGAGGAAGAGUGCCAGAAGCGGGUACAUAACCCUGAGGAAUGCUCAUAAAGAUUUCCUCAUCAAGAUCACUAUGCAAAAACGCAUUAGAGACGUCCAUUUGAGACAUGCUCCAUCCUUGUAUAGCAGCAAGACCAAAAAGAAGUUUCACACUAGUUAGUUUAGCCACAGGUGAGAACGUAUCAGUGAAGUCGACACCUUCUUGUUGUGUGAAACCUUUAGCUACCAAACGAGCUUUAUAUCGUUCUAUGGUGCCGUCUGCAUUGUACUUAAUGGUAUAUACCCAUUUGCAACCAACCACAUUCUUACCAGGAGGUAAAGAUUCAACUGUCCAAGUUCCAUUUGUCUCCAUAGCCUGCAACUCAUCAACCGUGGCUUUUCGAAAAUUUGGAGAUAACAUGGCCUGCUUAAAAGAUGUUGGUUCUGUCUCAAGAGAAUAGGAAAGCACAUAUGACUUAUAAAGGGAUUGAAGUUUGUCAUAUGCAAGAACAGAAGAAAGAGGAUAUGAAAUCGAAGAUGAUGGUAAAGAAGAUGAAGGGGUUAGAGCAAAGUUACUCUGAGCAAGAGCGCAAUGGUACUGAGAUAAGUAACCAGGGGCUCUUGUAUGACGCUUAGGUCUGUCACCGAGUAGUCGUCCUUGUCCUGUAGUAACUGGAACAGUCUCUCUAUGUAUAUUUGUGGCAUUAGGAACUACAGGUUUUGGAACUACUGAGUCAAGAACAACAGGAAUAGGAGCAGGUAAGAUAGUCCUAUCAAAGAUGUUCAGAGAAGGUGAAACAGAGAAAGAUGUAUCAAGAAAUGGAAAUGUAUUUUCAUGAAAAACAAUGUUUCGUGUAACAGAGAUCUUAUUGGAAUCGAGAUGUAACACUUUAUAUCCUUUGUAACCACUCGGAUAACCCAAGAAAACACAUUUAUCAGCUCUAGCAGAGAAUUUGUUCCGAUCUUUAAGCAAAGUAGAUGCAUAGCAUAAGCAGCCAAACGUUUUAAGAAACAAGUAAUCAGGAACUCUCUUUUGCAGUAGCUCAUAAGGUGUUUUAUCAUUUAACAGAGGAGAUGGAGUUCGAUUAAUAAGAAAGACAGCAGUGCAGAUGCAAUCACUCCAGUACACAAGCGGAAUGUUAGAUUGAAAUAACAAGGCUCUUGCCACAUUGAGAAUAUGCUGAUGCUUUCUCUCCACAACAGAGUUUUGUUGUGGAGUAUAAGCACAUGAGUAUUGAUGAAAGAUGCCAUGUUUCUGAAUGAGAUUAGUGAAGGCAAGUUCAGGUGCAUUAUCACUACGAAUUGCCUUAAUAUCAGUGUUAUAUUGUGUUUUAACAUGCUGAACAAAGAUUGGAAAGACUGUUAAAACUUCUGAUUUAUUUUUCAUCAUAUAAACCCAAGUAGCUCGUGUACAAUCGUCAACUAAAGUAAGAAAAUAUUUGUAACCUUCUAUUGACUCAAUACCAAAAGGACCCCACACAUCCAAGUGAACCAAAUCAAAAGCAGAUUUUGACAUGUUGUUAUUUGAGACAAACGGUAAUCUCUUUUGUUUAGCUAAUGGACAAACAGGACAAACUUCAGACUUAUGUAAACUCGACGUGGUGAUAGGCAAUGUACCAGUAAGAGACUUUAACUUGGAAGUUGAUGGAUGGCCAAGGCGUUGAUGCCAUAGGUUCCCAUCUACUUGCAAGGAUCCACAGAAUUCCAGAGAAGAAUCAACAGCAGGUUCAAGAACAUAAAGAUUGCGCAAUAAACGUCCUCUACCAAUCAUCAAGCCCUGAGUAGACUCCUGUAGCAAGCAAUGAUCAGGAUAAAAGUGAGCAGAAGAAUGAUUGUCACGCAAAAGUGUACAGACACUAAUAAGAUUGAACCGGAAAGAUGGAACAUGUAAAACAUUAUGCAAGGUGAGAGAUUUUGACAAUUGUACAGUUCCAAUAUGAGAUAUUGUUUCCCUAAUGCCAUUAGGGAGAGAGACUGUAACACCAGUUACAGGAGAAGUCUGAGUAAACAGUGACAAAUCUGAGCACACAUGCGUAGUUGCCCCACUGUCAAUUAUCCAAGCACCAUUAGGCAUUGUGUUUGAAAGAGAGGAAAGACAUUGGUGUUGAAAGGUGAGGAUUUUGUUAUCAAAACGAAGGCUAGUCGAGGGAAAUGAAAUGGUUACAUUUGGGAAUGAAGAAGGAGGUGUAAAAGAGACAUUACCAGCUGAAGAUUGAGGAUCCAUGUAUCCAUUUUCAUUCACCGUCGAUUGUUGAGUUGUCACAGCGUUGAUAGUAGGUGGCAUAAAAGCCUGGAGUUGUUGAAUUAGAGAUUGAAGUUGGUUCCUGUCCAUUUGUCCUGAGGACUGACCAGACUGCUCAGGAAGAACACUCGCCGCAACAUUCUGAUUAGCAUAUUGUUGUUGCUGAGGUGCGAAGUUCUGAAACUGAGGUUGUGGUUGUUGAUAGUUGUUCUGUCCUCGUGGGAUGAAUCCGGAUGGUGGAGCAGAAGAUCUGUUGUUGCGAUGACCAGGAGGAUAUCCAUGGAGUUUGAAACACUUAGCAACCACAUGACCGAGUUGACCACAAUAGGUACAAAGAGGUCUUGAUUUUGGGCGAAAGCCACCAGUAGAUUGAGUAGCAGCUAUAACCGGAUUCUCUGAUGGAGGAGCAGUAACAGAGACAGGUUCAGAAGGGCCUGAGCUCUGGAAGACAGCAGUAGCCGGUGUUGAUGGCUUGAUAGAUUUCUGCCUUUCAUCCUGAAUGACAAGAUUGAAAACAUCUUCAAUGGAAGGAAUCGGCUUGAGCAUUAGGAUGUGGCGACGAGUAGGCUCAUAUGCUUCAUUGAGACCCAUCAAGAAUUUAGUCACACGGCUUCGUAGUUGAAGAUUCUCCCAUAAAACCGCUGCAUUGCAUUCACAACGGCCACAAGUGCAAACUGGCAAAUCAACAUAGUUCUUGUAUUCUUCCCAUAACGUGACCAAUGCAGUAUAAUAGGUGCUAAUGUCCAUUGAACCUUGUUGUAGUCGACUCAAUUGCUGUUCAAUCUCAUAAACCCGCGGAGCAUCUUCUUGUUUGAAUCGCGAGAUUAUAUUUUUCCAGAUCGAUUCAGCAGUCGUCAUGAACAAGAGACUUUGACCUAUCUUCUUCGAUACAGAGUUCAUAAGCCAUGUAGCUACCAUAUCGUUACAGCGAGACCAAGAACCAGCAUCCCUAUGACUAUCUGGAGGUUUAGGAAUCGUACCAUCGAUAAAACCGAGUUUGUUACGGACGUUAAGAGCCAUACGCACCGAGCGACGCCAGGAAUGGAACUCCGCACCAGAAGAGAGGCGAUCGGAGACCAAGAUAAGACCAGCAUGAUCGGAGCUAUGAAGAUAGUAGGGAUUCUCGUAAUGAUCCAAAAAAGUAGCGUCCGAAGUGGGAAGAGGAUUCAUAGCAACGAAGAUGAAGACGAGAGAUGAAGAUGAGAGCUCAAUCCAAGUGAAGAAUCGACGCCAGAGAUCGAGUAUUCUUGAUUCAGAACGCGGAAAGAAGAACCAAGAGGAAGUAGACGAAAGCGAUAAGUUCCAGCUCGAGAAGAAUCAAAUCACCGAUGAACUGAAGAAGAAUCUGAGAACAAGAGAGACUCAUGAUGAUCGAAAGCACAGAAUCACCAUGAGAGUGAAGGUCUCAGCUCUGAUACCAUAUUGAAUGAAAGAAUCGAAUGAAUUGAUUAACCAAAGUUAGUUACAAUCAAGUGUAUAUAUAUACACGGUUUAAGUAAAAGGAAACUAAACCGUAUUGGUUAUCUAAUUUAAACCGGUAUUAUACAAUAGGUUCUUCGUUCCUGAUACAAGCAAUCAGUUGCUUAGAGUCUGCUUCACACCUGAUCCGAUGGACUCCCAUCUCUUUACACUUCACAAGUGCUGCUCGCAUCGCAAUACUCUCCGCCAUCAGGGGCGUGGAGACAUGCUCUUCUACUGCUGAGAAUUUGAUCGGUCCAUUCUCUCCAUAGAUGACCCAUCCCAGACCUGCAACAUUGCGAUCUCCCUUCCAAGAAGCAUCAGAUCUCAUUAAAAUAGUAUUUUCUACGUUCACUGGUGACAAGUCGGUUGUCCUCUGCUUUUGUGGGGCUUUAACUUGACCAUUCUGCCAUUCUCUCGCUGCUACUAUUGCAUUAGUGAAGAUCUCUGUUGCUGGGAAAGAAUGGGCAUCAAAGAUAACUAACGAGCUACUAAA
rnacentral:lncRNA from 1 species